rnacentral:rRNA from 1 species
AGUGAACGCUGGCGGUAGGCCUAACACAUGCAAGUCGAACGGCAGCACAGUAAGAGCUUGCUCUUACGGGUGGCGAGUGGCGGACGGGUGAGGAAUACAUCGGAAUCUACUUUUUCGUGGGGGAUAACGUAGGGAAACUUACGCUAAUACCGCAUACGACCUACGGGUGAAAGCAGGGGAUCUUCGGACCUUGCGCGAUUGAGUGAGCCGAUGUCGGAUUAGCUAGUUGGCGGGGUCAAGGCCCACCAAGGCGACGAUCCGUAGCUGGUCUGAGAGGAUGAUCAGCCACACUGGAACUGAGACACGGUCCAGACUCCUACGGGAGGCAGCAGUGGGGAAUAUUGGACAAUGGGCGCAAGCCUGAUCCAGCCAUACCGCGUGGGUGAAGAAGGCCUUCGGGUUGUAAAGCCCUUUUGUUGGGAAAGAAAAGCAGCAGGUUAAUACCCCGCUGUUCUGACGGUACCCAAAGAAUAAGCACCGGCUAACUUCGUG